UAGGGAAUAUUGGACAAUGGGUGAGAGCCUGAUCCAGCCAUGCCGCGUGCAGGAAGAGGGCGUUAUGCGUUGUAAACUGCUUUUUGCCAGGGGAUAAAAAGACCGUGCGCGGUUAAUUGAAGGUACCUGGUGAAUAAGCCACGGCUAACUACGUGCCAGCAGCCGCGGUAAUACGUAGGUGGCAAGCGUUGUCCGGAUUUAUUGGGUUUAAAGGGUGCGUAGGUGGCCCUGUAAGUCAGUGGUGAAAUAUCUCAGCUUAACUGAGAGGGUGCCAUUGAUACUGCAGGGCUUGAGUACAGAUGAGGUAGGCGGAAUUGACGGUGUAGCGGUGAAAUGCAUAGAUAUCGUCAAGAACACCGAUAGCGAAGGCAGCUUACCAAGCUGUAACUGACGCUGAGACGCGAAAGCGUGGGGAGCAAACAGGAUUAGAUACCCCUGUAGUCCCUGAGCGGGCUGGCAAGGCGCAU
rnacentral:rRNA from 1 species